ACCCUGAGAGUUUUGGAGGGUUUUUGCAGAAACCACACACACACACGGAGACCCAAAAAUGGAGUUCGAGAAGCGAAAAGCGGCGACGCUGACGUCACUGAGAUCGGAGGUGACGGACAAGUCGCCGAAGGGCACGGUGGACACUCCGAUCAUUCCUCUCCUCGACGUCAUCAACGGCCACCGCGACUACUUCACCACCAGCUCCUGCUCCGGCCGAAUCUCCAUCCUCUCUCAGCCCGCUCGCCGGGUCUCCAAGAAGAAAGCCUCCGGCGGCGCGUGGCUUUACAUCUCUCACGACCCGGCCGAUCCCGACUCCGUCCUCGACCUCGUCUUCUGCACCUCCGAUCAGAAUGAGCCGGAGCUCCAAGACGACCAAAACGACGUCGUUUUCAGAUUCGAGCCUCUGAUUAUCGCCGUCGAGUGCAGGGACGUGGCGGCGGCGCAGGUUCUGGUGUCGAAAGCCAUAGCGUCCGGGUUCAGAGAGUCCGGCAUUACGAGUUCGAACAAGCGUGUGAUUAUCGCGAUUCGCUGCUCGAUACGAUUGGAGGUUCCGCUGGGGAGUAGUCGCGAGAUUAUGGUGUCUCGCGAGUAUUUGAGGUUCCUUGUGGGCGUGGCGAACGAGAAAUUCGAGGCCAACCGGAAGAGGACCGAGGCUUUUCUGGAGGCUCUGCAGAGUGGGGAGAGCGGAGGAGGGUUUGCGCUGGCUCCGGCUGGUGGAAAUUACGAGAAUGCCUCUUCCGGGUUGAAGGGAGAUAAUGGAUGCUCUAGUCUGUCUGUUGUUCCGACAGAGGUUUCCGGGGAGAAUGAGGAGAAUCUUUACCUCUGGGGUCAUUCGGCUUGCGCGUUGGAGAAGAAGGUGGAUAAUGGGAUUCUUGUGUUUGGUGGAUUCGGAGGCAUUGGAAGACAUGCGAGGAGAAAUCAGUGUUUGCUGGUUGAUGCAUUGUCUGGUAGUUUGAGAGGGAUUAGCAUAGAGAGUAGUCCUUCACCGAGAUUGGGCCACACGGCUUCUUUGGUUGGACAUUGUGUGUUUGUUAUUGGAGGCAGGGCUGAUCCUGAGAAAAUUCUGAGUGAUGUAUGGGUCCUCGAUAUACAGAAGAAGGAAUGGAAACUCGCCGAAUGUUCUGGUGAUGUAUUUCCUCCCAGGCAUCGACAUGCUGCAGCCGUGGUAGGAUCAAAGAUAUAUGUGUUUGGUGGACUUAACAAUGAUGCAGUCACAUCUUCCUUGCAUGUACUGGAUACAGAUAAUCUGCAGUGGAGAGAGAUAGUUGUCACUGGGGAAGGUCCGUGUGCCCGACAUUCACACUCAAUGGUGCCAUCGGGAUCUCAGCUAUAUAUGUUUGGAGGAUAUGAUGGUGAGGAAGCACUUGGAGACUUGUACAGGUUUGAUACUGAAAAAUCUAAAUGUAGAUGGAAAAAAGUGAAGGCGUCUGGGAGAAGUCCCCAUGCAAGGUUCUCGCACUCCAUGUUUGUGUACAAAAAUCAUCUUGGAGUUAUUGGUGGUUGUCCAGUUAGACAACAUUGCCAAGAGUUGGCAAUACUUGAUCUACGGCUGUGCAUGUGGAGGCAUGUGAAACUAGAAUCCACUGGUGAAGAUUUGUUUGUACGUAGCACUGCCAAUGUUGUUGGUGAUGAUCUUGUUAUGAUUGGUGGUGGGGCAUCUUGUUAUGCAUUUGGUACAAAGUUCAGUAAGCCAAUGAAAAUCAACUUGCUUCCCUUGAAGCUUAGAGAUGAUAAACCACUUGUCAGAGAACGGCAUACUGACCAAAUUGAUAUCGUGAGGAGCGAAAAGAGUAGACAUCCACAGGUUCAAAAUGUUAAAACAUUAACCGAAGCUCCUGACCUAAAUUUUAAGAGUGAAUUACCCAUGGCUGAUGGCAUUGGUCAACAGGUGGAUGCAUAUUGGGUUCUGAAACUUGAAAGAAAGUAUGCGAAAAUAGGGAAGGACAUACUAAAGAAGUUUGGUUGGUUAGAUCUUGCAAGGAAGGUUUACUCCUUGGAAGGUGGUUUACAUAUUUGUUUCCCUGUGAGUGCAAAAUUUUCUGAUGUAUUGAAAGAAAAUCAGCAUCAUAUGGCAAAUUCAUUUGAAGGACAGAGUGGUCACAUUUGUAAGCCAGAUAUAGGAAGGGAAUGUUUGAUUGAUGAGGUCACCUGUUCAAAAGCCUUAGACAUUCUAAAGGAAUGUGGUGCCAUGAAGCUGGUAGAUGAGGUUGUUGAAGUCAGAAAAACUGCAAAAUCUCCCUUGAAAAUAAUGAGUGAUGCCGUGGGGUCUCUGCUAGAGGAUAAAGGCCUACCUGCAGGACUGUUGGAGGAGCUACCAACCAGAUGGGAGCGACUUGGAGAUAUUGUUGUGCUUCCAGUGACAUCAUUCAAGAAUCCGUUAUGGGACUCAAUUGCUGAGGAGCUUUGGCCUGCUGUUGCCAAAUCAGUAAAUGCUGUUCGCCUUGCUCGCCAAGGCCGAGUUGCAUCAACUGGUACAAGGGACAGUACUUUGGAGAUUCUUAUAGGAGAUAAUGGCUGGGUUGAUCAUCGUGAAAAUGGAAUUCUCUAUUCUUUUGAUGCUACUAAGUGCAUGUUCUCCUGGGGCAACCUUUCUGAGAAGCUCCGCAUGGGCUCUCUGGAUUGUAGAGAUGAGAUCAUUGUGGAUUUAUUUGCUGGAAUUGGAUAUUUUAUGCUGCCAUUUCUUGUCAGGGCCAAGGCAAAACUAGUUUAUGCUUGUGAAUGGAAUCCUCAUGCUGUUGCGGCACUCCGGAGAAACGUACAAGCCAAUUCUGUCAGUGAUCGAUGCAUCAUUCUUGAAGGAGAUAACCGGACAACGGCACCUACAGGAGUGGCUGAUCGGGUCUGCCUUGGUCUCAUUCCGUCAAGUGAAUCUAGCUGGGCCACUGCUGUUAGGGCAUUAAGGGAUGAGGGUGGGAUGCUACAUGUGCAUGGGAAUGUGGUGGACUCAGAGGAGAAUUCAUGGACCAAUCACGUAACAGAAUCAAUAGCUGAAACUGCUAGAUCUCAAGGUCAUUGUUGGGAGGUUUCAAUAGAACAUUUGGAGAGAGUGAAAUGGUACGCCCCACACAUCCGCCACGUUGUUGCAGAUGUAAGAUGUAGACAGACCCAGAAAUAACAAAAUAGGCACUGGUCCUGAUCAGUUGGAGGCAACAAAUUAUUCAGGACCCAUCAAUUUUGUUAGGGAUGCCACAAUGCAGUAGACACGUCAAUGCUGGUGGGUGAGCUCCAUUCAUCAUCUCUGAGUUCAUGGCAUUCAUGCAUGGAGACACAUAGAUCGCUUGUACAGUUUCUCAACUCAAUGCAAAGUGUCGGUGGUCACAGAGCAACAGUCUCCUUGCAAAUUAGUUCGUUUACCAAAAGAUUUUAGUGGUAUUAGUAUUUUAACCUAUUCCUCAAUGAGCUGUGAUCUUUUAACUUUUUCCUUAAAUGGUAUUAGGCUAUUAGCAUUUUAUCCUAUUCCUUGUAUUUUUUUUUUGACGAUACUAUUCCUUGUAUUUGAAUUAUUCCU